GUUACUGGGCAACUAACUUCACAAUGGAGGACUUCAAGUGAGGUGCUGCCCUUGGAUGUGAGUCAGCUGCUUCUCUGCAGGAUUUUAUCCCCACCACUGAGCCUUUUCUACAGCUUCCACCCAAAAGGAUAAUACUACAAACUUGUGGGAGGACUCAACAUUGGCUGCUCAUCUCAAAUCCACCCUUCACACAGCCAGCGGAGCAAGCUAUCUAAAUGCAAUGCUGACCAUUCUUCUCUCAGGUGAGCCCAGUGGUCAUGAAAGCCUGCAGAACAUACGGCAAGGCCCUUGAACAGCACGGACCAUCCACAAAACCAACUUUUGACAGCUUCAGAAUCAGAGUUAUCGAGCCAACGAGGACAGAAGCUCUUCCAGGUUUGACCUUAUUUAUAUUAACUUUGAGGCACAUUCGGUGAUUCCGUUCUCGGAGCUCUUUUAU